ACCAACCAAAAGUAUAGUCAUCCGGGAAGAGAAGAGCCUGAGAGAAAAAUAACACUUGGACUGGCAUCAGGAGGCUAGUGUCUGGAUGUUGUUGAUGUACUGCAAGGAGAAGCAGACUAAACUAGAUAGUGCCAGUGGAGUUCAGAGCAGCCACCAGUCUGGCACCAUUCUUUGACACCAAGUCCCCUGAAAAUCACCAUGCACAUCCAUUGGAGCCUUCUUCAGGAUUCCAGCUUAUUCAGAAGACAGGGUGAAACUCCCAGCCUCCUGAGACUGAGAAACUACUAGAUUCUUGGACUUUCCAUUCACAGAUGGCCAUUAUUGGGCUAGUUGGACUGCAACCUACGCUGCCUCCCAAUGUUUGACGACAUCCCGAAAACAACUGGGACACAUGUGUUCACACUUUAUACAUCUAAACUAUAACGCUCUGUCAGAAUUGACCAAAUAGAAGAAAAUGCUAAUUAAACAGAGUACCCGUGUGCUGGCCGGGCACACUAUUCUACACAAUGAGAUCAUGUUUCUUCCACUUGCUGACGUCCAGCCAUCAGCCGCGGACAUGCUCCAGCUUCAGUAACUCUUGUUCCAGGUCUCCCUCCUCUACCCUGUUGCAUGUGCAUUCACUUCAAACCCCAAUACAUGUUAGCAAACACGUGUUAUCAGGUGGCCACAUCAAAGACAGCUAGAACAAGUGAGGGAAGGUCAAGGGUCAAGGCUGGGUCAGAAGCCCAGGAAAAGCUGGGAGCAGGGAUUCCAACAAGCUAAAGAUGCCUCUCGCCUUCUUUCUUCUCCAGGUCCAUCCCAUGGACACUUCCUGCUGUGCAGCUUUCUCCACACCAUAGGAAUCAUUACUCUGACUUCACUGGCUGGGAUCUGGGGACACAGUGUUCACAGUCUCAUUCUGAAAUCCCUUGUUUGUCCCAAUUGUCUGUUAGGAUGUGGGGAUCUCGCUUGUUCCAUGAGAAAUGGCAGAGGCUUUUCCUAUAAAAGUAGCACACAAGACGACAGCAUAAUCUAUGAAAUCAAUAUUCUGUCCAUGUGAGGUUUGUAACUUUUAGUACCACUUUGAAUUAAUGAUGUUCAAUGAACAGUUUAAAACUUUAUAAUAAAUUGAAUUUUAAGAC